rnacentral:rRNA from 1 species
UCAAACGAGAGUUUGAUCCUGGCUCAGAACGAACGCUGGCGGCGUGCUUAACACAUGCAAGUCGAGUGCGCGUACUGUAGCAAUACGGUAUGGCGCACGGCGCACGGGUGCGUAACACGUGGGCAAUCUGCCCUUCGAUGGGGAAUAACUCCGGGAAACCGAAGCUAAUUCCGCAUAACAUUCCUUGGACUUCGGUUCGAGGACUCAAAGCCGUAAGGCGUCGAAGGAGGAGCCCGCGCCCGAUUAGCUAGUUGGUGAGGUAACGGCUCACCAAGGCAAUGAUCGGUAGCUGGUCUGAGAGGAUGGCCAGCCACACUGGAACUGAGACACGGUCCAGACUCCUACGGGAGGCAGCAGUGGGGAAUCUUGCGCAAUGGGCGAAAGCCUGACGCAGCGACGCCGCGUGGGGGAUGAAGCAUUUCGGUGUGUAAACCCCUUUCGACUGGGACGAAUACCUCGCAAGAGGGGUGACGGUACCAGUAGAAGAAGCCCCGGCUAACUACGUGCCAGCAGCCGCGGUAAGACGUAGGGGGCCAGCGUUGUUCGGAAUUACUGGGUGUAAAGGGUUCGUAGGCGGUGUGGCAAGUCGGGAGUGAAAUCUAUGGGCUUAACCCAUAGGCUGCUUCCGAAACUGCCGUGCUUGAGUGUGGGAGAGGCGCGUGGAAUUGCAGGUGUAGCGGUGAAAUGCGUAGAUAUCUGCAGGAACACCCGUGGCGAAAGCGGCGCGCUGGACCACUACUGACGCUGAGGAACGAAAGCUAGGGGAGCAAACAGGAUUAGAUACCCUGGUAGUCCUAGCCCUAAACGAUCAGGACUUGGGGUGCCACCCGUUCGGGUGUCGUCCCGGAGCUAACGCGUUAAGUCCUGCACCUGGGGAGUACGGUCGCAAGACUGAAACUCAAAGGAAUUGACGGGGGCCCGCACAAGCGGUGGAACAUGUGGUUCAAUUCGACGCUACGCGAGGAACCUUACCUGGGCUCGAAAUGCUGGUGACCAGCUGUAGAAAUACGGCCUUCCCGCAAGGGACACCAGUAUAGGCGCUGCAUGGCUGUCGUCAGCUCGUGCCGUGAGGUGUUGGGUUAAGUCCCGCAACGAGCGCAACCCCUGCACGUAGUUGCCACUCCGCAAGGAGGGAACUCUACGUGGACUGCUCCGGAUAACGGAGAGGAAGGUGGGGAUGACGUCAAGUCCGCAUGGCCUUUAUGUCCAGGGCUACACACGUGUUACAAUGCAGGGUACAAACCGUUGCCAACCCGCGAGGGGGAGCUAAUCGGAAAAAACCCUGCUCAGUUCGGAUUGCAGUCUGCAACUCGACUGCAUGAAGCCGGAAUCGCUAGUAAUGGCGUAUCAGAUCGACGCCGUGAAUACGUUCCCGGGCCUUGUACACACCGCCCGUCACAUCACGAAAGUGAGCUGUACUAGAAGUCGCCGCGCGAACCGCAAGGACGCAAGCGCCCAAGGUAUGACUCAUGAUUGGGGUGAAGUCGUAACAAGGUAGCCGUAGGAGAACCUGCGGCUGGAUCACCUCCUUUCUAA